UGAGCAACUGAAUUUGAUUCCCUGUGGUAGCGUUGGGUAUGCAUAUGCGCGACCUUUGUUUCAAGUAUAUGGGAGCGAUUUCCUGUCUUUGUGGCUUUGCUUUCCGUGAUUUGAAUCUGAGCGAAUCCUAAAUUUUGGGCAGACUGAAUGGAGGAAAAUGGUUGCUGUCAAGUAGACAAAUCUACAACUUGAGGGACGGCGUUUCACUGUACAAUGUUCAGCUGAUUAUUGAGUACUGACUAUACCCAACAACACAUGACUGACUGGACCAAGUAGAAGUAGCUGUCUUCAUGUAUAAUAUUUUCUUUGGAAAAUUCUAUUGAGCUGGGUACGCGCAUGGGUAUCUCUCUGGGACAAGACAGACUGGUUGCACUCGUACACAGGUCUCAUAAUAUUCGCCAUCCUUGGAUCCACGACGACGUCAUUCUGGAAGAUCAUUUGGCGCAGCUAGGCUUCGCUAAAUGUGAAGUUCUGGCUUGCAUCGCAAAACUGUUGUUGGACGGCGGACCGCUUGGCCAAGCAUGGUCUUCAGCACCCACCCGUUUGUUGCUUAUGCUCUAAGGAAGAAGAAUCCCUGCAACACUUCCUCGUUGAUUGUGUCUUCUCGAGGAUCACCUGGCACGAGGUCAUGUCUUGGUGUCGACUACUGCCGCCCAUCCCGGACGUCCAGACCACCUUCUUCGACUGGUGGCUGGAGUGGCCCGCCGUGGCCUCGCCUCAGCAGCACAAGGGCUUUGCCUCUCUCGUGAUCAUCACAGAUUGGUUCAUUUGGAAGCACAGGAAUGCAGCCAUCUUGGAUGGCUUGCAACCGUCCAACUCACACCUUUUUAGCACCAUCAAGGACGAAGCCAUGUGUUGGGCACGCGCUGGCGUCAAGGGACUAGAUAGAAUUAUCCCUGUAACCUGAUCAUCUUCUGGUGAGGCUGAGCAACCCCCUCUCAUAUUCUCAUCGGUAACCCUGAAGGCGCCAUUCUCGUUGUGCACGUCUUUGGGGUAACCACACAAAAACUUGUAUUCUCUCCUAUCUAUAAAUGGAAUGAUACGCCUAUGUGUGAAAGAUAAUGGGUGUUGGGACCAAAUUAUGGAUAUUUGUAUUGAUGUCAUCUUGACAUGCUUGAUGAUACUUAAACAACCUUUGCCUUCCUCAAACGA